GAUUAACGCUGGCGGCGUGCCUAACACAUGCAAGUCGAACGAGGUAGCAAUACCUAGUGGCAGACGGGUGAGUAACGCGUGGUCAACCUACCGUUGAGUGGGGGAUAACUAGCCGAAAGGUUAGCUAAUACCGCAUACGUCUCCGAGUGGCAUCACUUGGCGAUAAAAGGAGCAAUCCGCUCGAUGACGGGACCGCGUCCCAUUAGCUAGAUGGUGGGGUAACGGCCUACCAUGGCACCGAUGGGUAGCUGGUUUGAGAGAGCGACCAGCCACACUGGGACUGAGAAACGGCCCAGACUCCUACGGGAGGCAGCAGUGAGGAAUUUUCCGCAAUGGCGCAAGCCUGACGGAGCGACGCCGCGUGUGGGAAGAAGGCCUCGGUC
rnacentral:rRNA from 1 species